AAGUCGUAACAAGGUUUCCGUAGGUGAACCUGCGGAAGGAUCAUUAACACGCGUAAUCUCUAACGAUUACAAACCAAACCCGUGCACUGUAAUUUUCUUACAGACCGCGAGUAGCAGGCCGCUUGGAUUUGCUAAGGAGUGUGUCGAUUGCUGUGACUCCUUAUAGAUACAAGUGCUAUGGACUGUUAGCCGCGGUAUACAAGCUUCAAAAAAACUCACUCAGUGGUCUACACUUAACCCCUUUUUGAACUCUUUUAUUAACUGAUCUCCAUUAGUCUUUAGUCGAAAGGCUCUAGACUACACUGGAUCGUAAUUCUACGAAACAGUAAAGUACAACUCUAAGCAGUGGAUAUCUUGGUUCCCAU
rnacentral:misc_RNA from 1 species